rnacentral:sRNA from 2 species
CUGCAUUCUUUUCACACCCCCGCCGGGGCGGCCUGCGCAACCGCGCAAUUUUUUUCCGGUUCUUGCGCUCGGUCAGUUUACUUACUACAAGUAAUGGGUACUAUGUACGCCGGCCAGUUUCUCUUUGUUGAGAGA